GGACCAAUAGCUUAAGUGGUCAAAGCGUGUUGCUCAUAACAAUAAGAGUGUAGGUUCAAAUCCUACUUGGUCUA
rnacentral:tRNA from 1 species